rnacentral:misc_RNA from 1 species
GUGAAUCAUCAAAUCUUUGAACGCAAAUUGCACUCCCUGGUAUUCCGGGGAGUAUGCCUGUUUGAGGGUCGUUAGAAGAAAAAUCGACGCGUCGCUCUUUUUUUUUAGGGUGAUCGCGUCGGAAUUGAGCCGUCUUUCAAGUGUCAAUUCAUGCCAAAGUGGCUUAAAAUUCAUCAAUCCGGUACGAUUAAAGCGUAUUUAAGAUCACCUUUGAUUAAGAACGCGCGAUGACGUACCAUCUCAUGUAGUACUUCUGACCUGUGUCAUC